rnacentral:misc_RNA from 1 species
ACCUUGAGUGCCUCCACCACUCUAAAGAGAAAGCUUCUGUUUUUGUGUGAAUUAAUUUCCAUUCCAAGCAGUUGUGCUUGCAUGAAAGAGCUCUAAAUGCUGCUCGAUUAACCAAUUCCUAGCGGUACCAUGUCCAUCUGAAGCACUUUCAAAUGCAAUGAAAAUGCAUGUGGAUUCAAAAAAAAAAUAGUUGAAGUUUCUCUAUUGUUGCUAAAACUUGAUUCCCUG